rnacentral:rRNA from 1 species
CGGGGAAAUUUCUUAGAUUGCUUCCUUCAGUCCCUUAUGAGAAAUCAAAGUCUUUGGGUUCUGGGGCGAGUAUUCGCGCAAGCGAGAAAGUUAAAAGAAUUGACGGAAGGGCACCACCAGGCGUGGAGCUUGCGGCUUAAUUUGACUCAACACGGGGAAACUCACUAGUUUAAGACAAGAGUAGGAUUGACAGAUUAAUAGCUCUUUCUUGAUUUCUUGGAUGGUGAUGCAUGGCCGUUUUUAGUUCGUGAAUAUGAUUUGUCUGGUUAAUUCCGAUAACGAACGAGAUCUUAACCUGCUAAUUAGCGGCGAAUACGUUAUAUUCCUACUUGAAAUUGAAUAUAGCUGAAUUUGCUUAUUUUGAAGAAUAUAUUAGGAUGCAUUAUAGUGUCCUUUUCCCUUUUCUACUUAAUUCGCAAUUCAUGCUGUUUCUC